UACGUAGGGUGCGAGCGUUGUCCGGAAUUAUUGGGCGUAAAGGGCUCGUAGGCGGUUUGUCGCGUCGGGAGUGAAAACCAGGUGCUUAACACCUGACUUGCUUUCGAUACGGGCAGACUAGAGGUAUUCAGGGGAGAACGGAAUUCCUGGUGUAGCGGUGAAAUGCGCAGAUAUCAGGAGGAACACCGGUGGCGAAGGCGGUUCUCUGGGAAUGACCUGACGCUGAGGAGCGAAAGUGUGGGGAGCGAACAGG
rnacentral:rRNA from 1 species